rnacentral:rRNA from 1 species
UACGUAGGGUGCAAGCGUUGUCCGGAAUUAUUGGGCGUAAAGAGCUCGUAGGCGGUUUGUCGCGUCUGCUGUGAAAACCCGAGGCUCAACCUCGGGCCUGCAGUGGGUACGGGCAGACUAGAGUGCGGUAGGGGAGAUUGGAAUUCCUGGUGUAGCGGUGAAAUGCGCAGAUAUCAGGAGGAACACCGGUGGCGAAGGCGGAUCUCUGGGCCUUGCCUGACGCUGAGGCGCGAAAGCUAGGGGAGCGAACAGG